AUGGGUGAGCUUGCAAGUAGAUCCAUAUCGUUCCUCAUGGCCAGGUACCUAAAGCAGACGCCGGCACCAACCGAGGAGGAGAGGCUGCGCAGCCUACAACGGCUGCUGCUGCGGGUUCGUGUCGUCGUCGAGGAGGCAGAUGGCCGGCUCAUCACCAACCAGGCCAUGCUGCAUCAACUCAGCAUACUGAGAAAGGACAUGUACAGGGGGUAUUACACCUUCGAUAUCUUCAGUUGCCGAGACCAUGGAGAUGGGAGGACAAAAGAUCAUGAAGUUAUUUACUCCUUUGCCCCAUCUAAAUUCAACCCUGCCAAGCGUGUAUGUUUCUGCAGUGGCAGCAGUGAAGGUGCAGCACAAGCUGAGCUGCUGGAGCAAGUUCUUGGCAGCAUAAGGGACGCCAUGGAAGAUGUGAGCGAGUUCAUCAUGUUUCUAAACAGUUGCCCGCGUUUGCACCGCCAGCCAUACAACAUGUAUCUGCAGCUGGACAAGUGCAUGUUCGGACGCCAAAUGGAGACGGAAGUUGUGAUGAACUUCCUGUUGCAAGCAGAGACUACUAAGUAUCUGCCUGUCCUGCCGAUUGUUGGUCCCGGAAAUGUUGGGAAGAGCACCCUGAUCGAGCAUGUGUGUGAUGCUGAAAGGGUGCGCAACCACUUCUCUCAGAUUUUGUUUUUCAAUGGUGACAAUCUUAAAGAUACAAGUGUAGAGACCCUAAGAAAUGGAGGUAGAAUCAAGCAUCAAAACCGUGGGAUGGGCGGUGGAAGGACAUUGAUCAUCAUUGAGCUGCUUCUGGAUAUUGAGGAGCCUGUAUGGAAGAUGUUGUAUUCAGCUGCAAAAACCUGCAUCACGAGUGGAAGUAAGAUGAUAAUUGUGAGCCGUUCCGACAAGAUUACAAGCUUGGGAACCACAGAACCCCUCAGGUUGCAGUGCCUUACUCAAGAAGCAUAUUGGUACUUCUUCAAGGUUCGUGCUUUUGGGAGCACGAGAGCCGAGGACCACCCAAAGCUCACAUCAAUAGCCAUGGACAUGGCUAGGCUGAUGAAUGGGUGCUUCAUGGGUGCAAGCAUCUUCAGUUAACUACUAAAAGCAAAUAUUAACCUUCAUUUCUGGAGCAUGGCCUUUGCAGCCCUGAGGAAUUCGAAGCAGACAAACAACUCAGUGUAUGGGGAGCAUUUCACUUAUCCUUGGCCAAUGCUGGAGACAGGAUAUUUCAGGAGAGUGAAGAAAACUUCUGAAUGUGUUGUCAUGUUUGCUGGCCACCAGACAUGUUCUGUUGAAACUGGACCCGAAGCUCUCAAGAUGAUUAGCAUGCAAGAUCUUCUCAAUGGAAGUGUUAGGCCUAGAGGGAAAUUCAGCGCCCAUCUGUGGACAUCUCGUCUGCCUCCUUAUCACAACUACUCUAUUCACUGUGAGAUAAGGAGGCCACACCGCGUGAACAAACACUUUCAGAAGAGAACUGUCUGA
rnacentral:rRNA from 1 species